UUUUGUCCAUGCUUUCGGCGAUGUGGCCACAUAUUUGAUUUUAAGAGGGAUCAGAUGUCGCUUCUCUUAUAUGUAGGUUCACUAGGAUGUGCGGUCCACCUGAAAAUCUACACCAGCCGCAAGAACAAAUGCCUCGAUGGGAUAGGUAUGGACGUUCAUUCUAUUCAACACCAGGCUUCAAAUUGGCUGGAGGUCAAAGUUUCGGACAGGCAGUCGAUCCGAAACCGUUACCAAAUCUAUACCGUUGGACUGAUGAAAUAUUCAAUCAAAUUCAAUCCAAACGUAAAUUCAUAUGAAAACAUAAUGAGCCCAAAUCAUUCAAUGGUCCUGAGUAAAAUUCAUUGGUUAUCGACCGGACCCGGGUACAAGCCACGAAAAAAUCUAGCCGAAUUGCUCACCACAAAUGAUUUCAAGUUAAAAAAUAUCAAUUAAACUCCUUGCUUUUCCAGUAAAUUUAAUAACCUACCUCUGCCAUCGUCGAAGGUGUAAAGCCUCGCCAACAGCCUACAAACGUAAUAAAUGGAAAUGCAUCGAAGAAAGUCGCUCAGCUGAUGUUCAAUUCAGCAGCAGCGGGAGUUAAUUAUGCGAUAAACAGACGACGGUGAACUUGAAACGCAAUAGAUGAUUAAUUUUCCUACUUCUAAAGUAAGUCUCACGAUUGCGGACCCACAGUGCCAUUAGAGGUCAUUAAUACCCGCAGCCAGCUGGACUGCGAAGUUCAAUCACGUUAUACGCUCAUACGUCGGGAUCGAGUACUUCAAAUUUUGAUCAGCAGAGCUGAU